rnacentral:lncRNA from 1 species
AUUGUUUUAGAGUAUUGUUGAAUGUCUUUGAUAUCUACGAGUUAAAAUACACAACAAACCAAAGUGCUCAGUAUAUGAGUCGCAAUACAGAAAUUGUGACGUGGCACUAAAUUCUAAAUACCGUGGUACUAAACGGUGACCAAACUGAAGCGAGGUCGUGACCUUACAUUCCUGUGGUAAAUAUGCAGUAGCUUGUUCCAAAGUUGCUUCUUGAA